GUAAUAGACUGAUCAGGCACAAAGAAAUUUGCAGCCGGGCUUUUAGAGCAGCAGGAAACACGCCUGCGGGACAGCA
rnacentral:ncRNA from 1 species